rnacentral:lncRNA from 1 species
AGGGUGUCAGAGGUCACAUCACGAGGAAGGUGAUGUUUGAGCAAAGGUCUGAUGGAAGUGAGGGCAGGAGCGAUGUGGAUAUUAGGAAAAGAAAGUUCCAGAACCCAUUGUCCUUUCUCCCUCACCGGAGGAAACCACAGUCCUGAAUUCGAUGUCCAGUUUCAUGUGGAUGUUUUUAUACUUUUACUAUUUGCUCUGCAAGAUCCAGUUGGGAAAGGAAGAAGCAUUUAUUUCUCUUGCUUUCCACACAUACCUUUGAAGUGUCUUAGCAUCAAAAGAAACACCCAGCCUGAAACUAUAUUUUCUUUACUCAAAACGUGUGGUAGUCUCAAGAUGACAGCUAGAUUUUUCUGGCAUGAACAGUAAAGGUCAACUUUGGCAAUGUUCCAUUAAUACAUGACUGCAAACAUUUUUAUACAUAAGAGCCUACAGGCAUUCGAACAUCGACUGUAAUUGAAAACCAGAUGUUGUGAGAAAAACCCUACAAGCCGCUACUUCCAAAUUAAAAACCACCUAGGUCUUUGUCCGGGGCCUCAGUGGCCGCAGUUUCCACCUCAGACCUCUGUGGUGCUCCUGCUGGGAUUUGGAGGUUUGCUCAGAAUCUUCCAUUCAUCUAAUUAGUCCUUUGGGAGAAAGAAAGAUGAAAGGAAGGGAGGGCAGGAGACACAGAGAUGCUUCACAUGGCUGUUUAGACCACGAAUGUAGCUCAUCUAGGAAAGAACUGGUGACAUGAAAAUAAUGAAACAGAAGGAUUGAGCUCUGUGAAUUGAGAGGUUUUGUCUUCAUUUAGAUAAAGUCACCAUUAAGCCACUCCUAUUUCCUUACUCUUAACUAAGGUGGAAUCAGGAAAGGAAAUGCAAAGUUGGGUCACCUUUUCCAAAUGGCUUCAGAAAAACUUCCCUAAUCAGGGGCCCCCAAAAGGAGGAAAUAUACUGGGGUGUAUAAGGCCUUGGUAGAUGAAGUGUGAGGAAUUUCUCUCUUGCCACCUGAUUCCGGUUAGAAAUUCACUGGCUGUGUCGCUGACUGAACAAAACAGAGGAUAAUAGCCGCUGGCUGAAGAUUUUAUAAUUGAAGCUGAGACAGAGUGGGCCAUGUGCAUGUUUAGAACAGUGAUUGCAUUGUGAAUUACAACAGAAGUCCCACUUGUCAGUCACACAAACGUUUAAGAGCAUAGAAAGGCAUCUGAUUUGGGACAAGGAUGACAAAAUAGAUCUUUUGGUUUCUCCCACUUUGCCCUGAGUACAAAGGGACUGAUGACUGCUUUGUUCUGGGAUAGAGUUUUAAUUCCUCUUAGGAUCUACCCAAUUAUUAACAGAGAAAGAAAAUUCCUGUCUGGAACCACUCCUACCACUUUCCGAAAGAAGUAAUCUUUAGUCCUCAUCAUCCAAUGAGAGAAAGAGAGUAAUAUAAAUGAUAUCGUGCCAGAUUUUUUGCUUUGUUUAUAAUCAUUACUUUUCCUCAUGUAUCUUUAGUGAUGUCUCAAUGUUAAACAACUGUAGUAAACACUGUUAAGAAACAUGGCUCUAAUUUGACAAUAUCAGUCAACAUUUAAAAUGCCUCUACCCUUUGAACCAGGAAUUACAUUUUUAAGAAUUUCUUUAACAGAUAAACUGAGAGAUGUGGAAAAUGAUAUAUUUACAAAGAUAAGCUUGGCAGCAUUGUUUGUAACAUCCAAAGAGUGAAAACAACCCAAAAGUUCAUCAACAGAUCAAUUAAAUAAAUUACUGUAUGUUUACACAAGGAAAUGGAGUAUCAGAUUAAAGUCUGGUUCCAGUCCUUGUC